AUAUUUCCUCUGUAGAAUGUCAUGACGGCAUCUAGUCUCUAAGGCUAGGUAAGCCUAAUAAUAUGCGAAAACAUUCAAUAAAAGCUUAAAACUUAAAAAUCCCAACAAUUUCAUGAAUAAAAUCUACCAAAACUCAAUACAUACAAAUCCCAAAACCUAGUGAGAUAUAAGUCAUAAGUUCUAGAUACAGUAUCGAACAAUCCUAUACAUCACUGUCUAUAAAAAUGUAAGGAAAUAAGGAAGAACAGUGUAGAAGGGGACUCCUAGGCUUGCGAACGCAGGCAGGUGUACCUUGAAGUCUCCAAACAAAGCAACUCAGUGUGCUAAUACCGGGUCUUAUAAGAUGUAUUUGGAUCUGCACAAAACAUGUGUAGAAGCAUAGUAUGAGUACAGUACAAUGGUACCCAAUAAGUUUCAGGCUUAAUCUCGGUAGACUAGUGACGAGGUCAGGUCAAAGGCCUACUGGAGAUAAAAGAAAAUAAGAUAUAAGACAUAAUUAUAAUGACAAAGGAAGUGAGAGCAAUAAAGAAUUUACGAAAAGUUAGCAACAUGGAAUCAAGGCAGUUAAUACAACACGAAAGGAAAAUAAGGAUUUUACAUGUUAAGGAAACAACAACCGAACAAAUACAACAAAUAGAGAGAGAUCAAUAGGGGCACUCCUGAGGUACUGCCUCAUAGUCCCAAAUCAUAAAAUUAACUCACAGUCUUUCCUUAUAUCACCGAGGGGGCCUUUAAAUUUAGUUUUGAAAAUUUUUUUUCGAAAUAGCACCAUGCAUUUUAGCCCACCUUAUCACACCGUAUAGCUUCUAGUAGUUCUCCUACUAGCCACGUGUAUCAAGCCCACCUUAUCUCACCGUAUGCAUUUUAACAGCAAGAUCUUAUACCACCGUAUGCGUAUCGAUAAUAACAAUGGCAUGGCAGAAAUCUCGUGCAAACAAUAACAAUAGCACGACAGAAACCUCAUGCAAACAACUAAACAAUCACCUCAACAAUAACACGAAUGCCAAGAUAUAACAACUAAAUAAAAUGAUAUUACACAACUUACGCCUUGCCUCAAUAGAAACCACGACCUUUGUAACUCAACACCAAACUCAACAACAAGAUAUUUUAAGGAUAGCAAUUUCAAGUAAGAACCCCACAGUUAAAUAAUUAAUAUGGAAUUAAGAAAGCAAGUAAUUCAACUAAACAUGUAGUAGACAUGUGAAAUUAGACUUAACAUAGUGACUAUAACAUGUUAAAGUAACUCAAUUAAGGCAUAAAAAGGAACUACAUAGCUAAAACUGGAAUUUCAAUAUUUAGCCCGUGUAUGCACUCGUCACCUUACGUAUACGGCCUUCACAUAUCACAAAUUAUCACAACAGUACCAAAUCCUUAGGGGAACUUCCCCCACACAAGGUUAGACAAGUCACUUACCUCAAUCCACGCUAAGUCAAUCAGUUAGAAGGCCUUUCACUCGAUUUUCCAACUCCGAACGGCUCGAAUCUAGGCAAAACAACUACAUACUAUAAAUAUACCUAUAGGAAACUAAUUUAAAUAAUGAAAUUAUGAUCUUAGCAAAGAAUUAAAACAAUCGUCCUAAAAAUUCAAUUCGGGCCCGCGUCUCGGAACCCAACCAAAAUUUUAAAAUCCGAACCCCUAUUCAAUAUUGAGUCCAACCAUACAAAAAUUAUACAAAUUCGAUACCAAAAUCUCGCUCAAAUUUCCAAAACUCAGCCAAAGAAGUUUCUUCCAUUUUCUCCCAAUUUUAAACUCCAAAAUGAUAAUUAAAAGAUGUAAUUAACAGUAGACUCAUGGGAAUUAAUCAAAAAUGAGUCAAGAAUCCUUACCCCAACAAUUCCUUUGAACAACCUUCAAAAUUUCACCUCAAACCGAUCUCCCAAAAUCUCAAAAUGAAAUAUGAAGACUAACCUUCGAAAUCCCUCUUUUCUGCCCCUGUUAAACCGCAUCUGCGGCCCUGGUGUCGCUUCUGCGGCUCCGCACCUAUGGAAAAACCAUUGCAGGUGCGCGUCCCAACUAGCAUCAGGGAGUUCUGCUUCUGUGGAUAAGAGCUCGCAUCUACGAGCCCGCUUUUGCGGAGAAACGACUGCAUCUACGGUCAAGCCCAAGGCUGCUUCCCCAAGUUCCGCUUCUGCGAAGGUAGCCUCCGCAUCCGCGAGUUCGUUUCUGUGGACAAAUGAUCGCAACUAUGAUCCCAGCUGGGCUAGACAAAAUCCACUUCUACGAACAGUGGCUUGCAUUUGCGAGCUAGCACCUGCGGCCAAUCCUUCCGCAGAUGCGAAGACACCAGAACCAGCCCAAUAUUUCAGCAAAUCAUUAAGUCCAAAAAUGAUAUGAUUUCCAUCUGAUUAUCACCCGAGACCCUUGGGGCUCCGUUCGAACAUACCAACUAGUUCCAAAACACAUAACGGACCUGCUCGAGGCCUAAGAUCACAUCAAACAACACUUGAAUCAUGAAUUGUGCAUUGAUUCAAGCCUAAGAACUUUAACUUCUACAUUCGAUGUCGAACCCUAUCAAAUCAAGUCCGGUUUACCUCAAAUUUUGCACACAAGUCAUAAUUGGCAUUACAGACCUAUUCCAACUUUCGAAAUCAAGAUCUGACUCUGAUAUCAAGAAAGUCAACUCUUGGUCAAACUUUCCAAAAUCCUCCAACUUUCCAGCCUUCGCCAAUUCACGCCGAAACGAUCUACGGACCUCCAAAUCAACGUUCAGACAUGUUCCUAAGACCAAAAUUAUCAUACGGAGCUAUUGUAACAGUCAAAACUUCAUUUCGUGGUCGUCUUCACAUAAGUCAAACUACGAUAAACUCCUACGACUUAAACUUCCAACUUAGGGACUAUGUGUCUCGUUUCACUACGAAACUCCCCGAAAUCAAUACCAAAUACCCCGGCAAGUCAUGUAAUCACAAAAUAAAAUAGAGGAAGCAAUAAAUAAAGGAUCGGGGCUAAUAUACUCAAAAUGACCGGCCGGAUCGUUACAGAGUUGUUCUUAAAGACACCUUUUACAUAUAGAAGAACGAAUCAAGUCAAGGCCCUUGCAUCUAUUUGGUUUAUUGGUGCUUAUUUAUUAAUUUUCAUUUUGGGUUGUCUUGUUCUUAAGAUAGCAAAAAUGAUUUUUUGGUCUUUAAUUACUUUUUUACUAACUCAAUGAUAUCCUUAGCUGAAAGAUGAUUAUGUCUGUUAUGUCGGGCCUACAAGAAGCAUUAUCUUAGUCAUUUUACUAGAUUAGGAUAAAUUCAAUUGUCCGACUAUUUUCGGUGGUUAUUGUGGUUUGGUAAAAAUGUAUGGUCAGUCAGUGUUUAAAAAGAUACAUGACUGGCCUAUUAUGUUUUUUCCUUUACUCGUGAAGAAUUAACUAGAGUAGCAGCCCACAUUAACAAUUGACUAAAGUAGCCCCAUUUUUUUAAUUACCUAAUUUUUAUAUUAUAAAAUCUGUUUUUUUUAGCCGUAAACGAAUCUAAAACCUAAAUCUACAUAGCUAAAGCUCCUUUCACUUGUGUCAAUUAUGCAGUAUUAGAUGCAUAAUGUGUAGGGCCGUUAAGAAGCAUUAUCUUAGUCACUUUACUAGGUUGGGAUAAGAUUUAAUUGUCCAGUUAUUUUCGGUGGCUAUUUUGAAUUGAUAAAAGUAUAUGCUCUAUUUAUGUUUUUCUUCCCUUUAUUUGUGAACAAUUAACUAGGCCAGCAACACAUAUUAGCAAUAAACUAAAAAUAGACCCAUUAUUUUUUAAUUACCUAAUUUUUACAUUCAAAAAUACGAUUUAUUUUUUAGCAAAAAAUAAAUCUAUGCAGAUCUUCUUCUAUGCACAGAUCCUUUGUCAAAAUGCUCCUUCUACCCAGAGUUUGAGAUGUCUUUUUCCUGCUAUAGUUAUGAUCAUAAAUCAUUCCACUGUGAAGGAGGAAGUGUGAUGUCAUCUUACGUUUUAGAACCUAAUUCUACAUUUUGAAGCCUUAAACCUCAUUUUAGCCCUCCUUGAUUUGUAUGCACAGAUAUGUUUCCAAAAAGCUUUUAUGUUAAAAACUGAGAAAAUAUAAAAUGUUUGCCUUAAAAUCCAUUUGAGUUGACUUCGGUUAAUAUUUUGAGCAAACGGACAGAGAUUCAUGAUUUGACGGUCCCGGUGGGUCCGUAUCGUGAUUUGGGACUUGGCAUAUGCCCGAAAUUAAAUUCGAAAAUCCUUAGCCCAAGUUAUCGCACUUCGUUGAAAUUUGAAAGUUAAAAGCUUAAUUACUAUGAAAUGUUUGACCAAUAUUUGACUUUUUGGAUAUUGGGUUCGUAUUUUAGUUUCGAAACCCGGUAUAGGUCCAAUACUAUAUUUAUGACUUGUUUGUCCAAUUUUGUGAUAAAUGGAAUUGGUUUGACGUGAUUUGGACGUCCGGUAGUGAAAAUAGAUGUUUCAAAGUUUUCUUGAAAAUUUCAUUUGAUUUGAUAUUCAAUCUUAGUUCUAGGUGUUAUUUUGGCAAUUUGAUCGUGCGAGCAAGUUCGUAUGAGGUUUUUAGACUUUUGUGCAUAUUUGGUUUGGAGCCCCGAGGACUCGGGUGAGUUUCGAAUAGGCUACAGAGUGGUUUGGACUUAAAAAAACUCAGCUGGUGUUCAGUUUCUGGUGCAGGUCUCAGACCUUGCAUUUGCGAUAUGGCAGCAAACCUGUCAGUUUUACAUUUGCGACCAUAAUCUUUGCAUUUGCGAAGAGACCCAGUUGCGCAAUUGCGACCAGGUGUUCGAUUUUGCGAUGGGGACUAGGGGUAGAUUCUUCGUAUUUGCGAUCAACGAGUCGCAUUUGCGAUCAGGACAGUUCGCAUUUGCGAUGAAAGCAUAGAUGUGAUGAUCUUCGCAUUUGCAACUGAUUUUUCGCAUUUGCGGGGUUCGCAUUUGCGCACAAAUGCGACAUCUGCAACUGAUCAAAAUGGGAGUUAGACGGUAUUUUUGUUCAUUCUCUCAAAUUUUCAAACUUUAGAACCCUAGAGGCGAUUUUUCAAAGGACUCUUCUUCCCCAAAUCAUUGGUAAGUGAUUUUAAACUAGUUUCUUUCAAUCUUUCACUAUAUUUCCAAAGAUUUCAACCAAAAAUCUUGUGUUUUUAUGGUAAAAAUUGGAGGUUUGGGUAGAAAUAGGGAUUUUUAUAAAAUGAGAAUUUAGACCUCAAAUUGAAGUCGGAUUCCAAAAUAAAUUACAUAACCGGGCUCGGAGGUGAAUGAGUAAUCGGGUUUUGGUCCGAAAUUCGGGUUUGGACCAAGCGAGCCAGGGAGUUGACUUUUGUUGACUUUUUCAAUAAUGACCUAAAUUGAAUUCUUUACAAUCGUGGGUAGUUCCUAAGGCUUAAUUUGAAUCGUUUGGUUGGUAAUUUGCUAGAUUCUAUUGGUUCAGAGGCUUGUUUGAAAGGCAAACCUGUGGUUGAUCUUUGAGUUUUAUCUUUGGAGCGAGGUAAGUGUCGUGGUUAACCUUGACUUGAGGGAUUAUGACUCAUUUAUCUAUUUGCUACGUGUUUAGAUCUUAGGUACAACGUAUAUGAAGAGGUUAAGUAUUUUCUCUUAACCUCUUCAUCAUUUAUAUGAUUAAUAAUGUAGAAUAAAACUUCUUUCGAGUCAUUUGUAAUAACUUUGAGGGAAUUUUGUUCGCAUACGCAUAUUGCUCCACUAAAGUUACGGAUAUUAUCUUCGGAGCUGCUACUAUCUGAGCUAUAUGCUACAUUAAUUAAUUCAUUAUCACUAUCGGAAUAACUUUCGUUAGAAGAUGAUGAAGAACUAUUUUCAUUUUCUUCCAAAAUAGUGUAAAACUUUUUCUUUGUGCUUUUGUCUAAUUCGAGAAGAUUAUCUUUUUCCCCUUUUCUUUUUAGUGACUUAACAGUCACUUUACAGUCACUGGCUCUAUGUCCUGUUCUUCCACAAGACCAACACUUAUCACCUUGUUCACUUUUAGAACGCCUUUUAAAUCUUCUCUUUUUAGGGGUCUUUCCUCCUUUUUCUCUUUUCGUUUAUGGUGUCUUUUAGACGGUUUAUCAGAAGAUUUGUAUUUUUUAGAGACACUUUUAGAUGGGGCGGAAAUAGUUUUAUAUCCAAAAUCUUGGCAGAAACUGUCAAGCUCAGUUUUGGAUUGUAAUCUGUCCUUUUUAGUAAGACUUUUAAGUUUUAGAUCUGUACAUAAGUCCAGACCUGUAACAUUAAUGAAACUUAUUUAAUCCUCAUAUGUAAGAUUAUCAUACGAGAUUUGACCAUUAAAUCGGUCCUUAAUCUUCGUUCUUACCUUUCCGGCAAACAACCUAGGUACUCCACUGAUAAAUCUUUCUUUCCAGAAAGAAUUACCGCAAUCUUCUCUAAUCAUUACCUUUUCGAUAAACAUAUCUUUAUACCAUCUAAAGUUUGUUAGUUUUGGGCAAUUAAGAUUAUUGAGGAGUUCUAAGCUUCUAUCUUGGAAAAGUUUUGGUUCCCCAAUAAUGUGUUUAGCAAUACAGUAAAUUAAAGUUGCGGUAGCAUCUUCUCUGGAUUCUUGUUCCGCUACUUGUGCAUUAUUUUCGGUUUUUACUAUGGUCACUAUCGUAGUGGCACUUAGGAUUUGAUUCCUAUUUUCUUCUGAGAGAUAAUUAUCCCACCAAUUUUUUAAUACGCCAGUAAAUCCUAACACUAUCAAUGUUGGUGCGUGUUUAUCCGGCGCAUUUUUUAUUUUAUAGGUAGUUACUGCAAUACCUAUUUCGUGGAGUUUUUUUUGUAAAUUUGGCUUUCAGCCAAUCCGUCUAUAUUCCAUUCUGUGAUUCCAGUUCCAUCGUGACUGGAGCUAGUUAGAUAUAUAUCUUCCUCGAAUUGAACAUCUGGGAAUGACGCUCGUCUGUAGUAAUUUUUUUAUUAGAAUGUCUUGGAUCAUUGGUGAUUCUGUUGAUCUCUGAAUCACUUGUUUUAAUGGUAGAGAAAGCCUUUAAGGUUACUAAAGGUUUUAUUUUAUUUAUAAGAUCUGCAAUUUCUUUGGAGGCCUUUUCUAUAGUUUUUAACUUAAUUUCAUUGUUAGGGAAAUCACCUUUAUAUUUUAGAAUUUUAUAUUCAUUUUCUAAUGAGACUAAUUUAUUUUGUAAAUUGUGUAAUUCUAUAGCCUUAUCGGUACUAGCACUAGCUUGUUUUAAAGAUGUGCUUGGCUUUGAGAUUAUCAUUUUUGUUUUAAGUUGUUCUUCUAUUUUUUCUAGAAGACUAUCUGAAAAAUCAAAUUGUUCUUUAUUGAGGGAAUUUUUCUUUGGAAAAUUCAGGGAUUUUAAUUAUGGGAUGUGUUUCAUUAGUUGUAGGUACUAUAGAUUUAGCGGGGAUUUCUAUCUUGUUAGAAUCUUUUAAUUGAUUAGAUACUACAUGUAAUAGAUUGUUGGUAUAAUUGUUUUGAGCAAUUAUUUUGUUUCAAUCUUUAUUAGUUGGUUCGCUAUCAAGGUGAACGCUUUCCCUUUUGAACGGGGAAGCAGUUAUUACUUGACCCUGAACCGGUAUUAGGAUUUCUUCUAAUGGUGGAGUAGUGGUUUCUAUAAUACCUUUGUUUUUGGUAUACCAUUUGUUGAUUAUCAUUUGUAAAGAUUCCUUCUGAUUUGGAAUUUGUCCUGUUAAUUCAAACCAUUUAAAGAAUUCAAUAUUACACUUGAUUCUUUUUAAGUCUUUGAUCCAUUUAUCUUUAAAAGAUAACCUUUGAUUUAAUGAAUACGUUUCAACGUACCAUUUUCUUUUGAUAGUAUUAUCAGGAUGUUCCCAUUUAGCAUCUAGACUUUUCCAGUCUAUUUUAAAGUUAUUUUCGGCUUUAAUAACCCCGAGUUGAUCAUGAUCAACUGUUUUUGUGGUUGGACUUCUAGGAGUGGCUCUAAAAGGACCUUUUUGAUAGAUUACUUUAGGAAUAGUUUUAUUAAAAUCUACUCCUUGUAGUUUUCUAUCGAGUUCCUCUAUUAAUUCUCCGUCGCUUUUAUUGUACUUUUAUUGCUAUUUCCCUCAGGGGGUGUGAGAAAAGAAGGUCUACUGAAGGACAUUCUUCUACUGGAAGAAGCUUCGCUUACUGAGCUAGAUCUUAAGAAGUUUAAGUCUAUGGCCCCUGUUGGGUAUUGAAUGACUUGUUCGAUGAAUGAACUUUCAGGUUCAUAUUUUGGUUGAGUUAUGGCUUCAAAACGCUAUUCGUCUUUUGAUAAUAUUUCAUCCCAUCGAAUCAUUCUAGGGACGAAGGUAUUACAAUGUUCUUGGUUUGCUUCCAUGAGCAUAGUAACUCCCUUAUUACUUUCAAUCUUAGCUUUCGGGGCUAAAGUUGUUUUCAUUAGUCUGUAAUAAACUCUGUAUAUUACAGCUAUUUCUCUUGUAUUAACUUUGCUGUUCAUAUUUUUUGUUUUUAUAUUAAGAGUUAAUGUAUCCAAAAUAUUCUUGUCAUUAAUGUCAACUGAAUAGUUAGGAUAACAGUUAAAGUAAACCAGGCCUUGGGCUAGGUUACUCUGAAAAACUCCUAACAAUGAGUCAUCAAAGUUUAAUAGUCUAUCAUCUCUUAACAAGAGACAGAGAUGUGUCUAAACCUAGUCUGUAUAAAGGUUUGACAGCGACUUGUACUAGUCCAAUAUGAAGAAAAUUAUAUUUUUUCUUAUAUUGUUGAAUAUCCUGUGCCGCUAAUAACUUGAUAGUUUCAAUAGAGUUAUUAAUAGCAAUUGCUGAUUCGCAAGUUUUGAUAUUAUAUUUUUUUAUAAAAUCAAACUUACCAAUGUGAUAUAUUGUGCUGAAGGAUUCUUUUGGAAUACUCCAAUUUUGUAGAUCAUUCUCAAUUUUGGCAAUAUUUGUUAUUGCCGAAGAUAUAUUGACAUUUUUUAAAAUAUUUUUCUCGGAUUUAUUCAUUAAUAAUGAGGUGUAUACCAGCUAAUACAAGUUUUUAACGUUCCUAGAUUACAGAGAUAUAUCCUCUUUUGUUCUUUAAAAUUUUUAAGAUUAUAUCAAUAGUAAUUGAUUUCUUUUAUUAUGUUUAACAAAGGCUGUCUUCAUAUAUUAUUAUAAGAAGUAAGGGUUUCGCAGACCCUAAGGUUAUGUUUAGCAAAAGUUAUUUUCCUAUUUAUUGUUCGUAGACGUUUUAACAACAUCCAUCUUUCUUUAUUUAUAUAUCUUAUAUAAUGAAAAGAAGGAUACUAUAUUUAAGGUUAGUCGAAAUCUGGUUAUCUCAAUCAUGCUAUAAGUCUUAUUCACACCUUACUGUUCAUUUCUUUAUAAGUUUACUGUUCAUCAUCUUCAUAGAUUUAUGAUAUUCCUUAGUUCAUAGUGUGAGGGUCUCUAAAGAGAGAGCUAGUUAAACCCUAUUACGCUGCCGUCAGUUGCCGUCGUCGUUAUAGACUAGGAAGAGCCACAGUUAGACAGUACACAAUAGGACACACUGAACACGUUUAACUUUGAACCCCCAAGAUAACUUAGAACUGGAAAAUCAUUUAGCAAUGAAGUAGAUAUACGAACAAUGUCAUAAUAUGCAUUUGAACUAUUAGAACAGAAACCAAAAUAAACUGCAGAAGUUAGAUUAGCCCCAAACGGUUCAGUUACUAAUUAAGUACCAAAAGAACUUAGCCAAUCCAAAACUCUGUGCAUGAAAUCCUAUGUGAUCUACAAAAGGAUUCUGAAGUCGCAAUAGCAACUUCACAAACUAGAGGUAGCAGUGACGGACCAAAUCAGAAUCAGCACCUCAAGUAAUCAAUCAAUAUAGCCUCAAACACAAACUAUAUGGAAUCCUCUAUUUAAUUCCCAAGUUUAGACGAUUCAUCAUAUUACGAGUAAUUUUUAUGCUAUCGAUCAACCUACUGCAACCGUGACCGCUCAUUAGGGACUGGAAAUGCGAAAAAUUUGAAAACAAUAUAAGAAAAUUCAAACACGAAUACAGAGGCAAAAAACAAGAGUAGAGAAACAAGACCUUGGGCAUCCUCUUCCUUGUCAUCAUCGUCGUCCGAAACAACCGCAUCAUCAUCAUCAUCGUUGUCGUCUUCCUCUUUCACAUCUUCCACUAUGAACUCCUCAUCCUGUGGCCCACAAUGUCAACAAAGAUAACGUUACCAUUAAAAUGGAGCAACUAAUCUAUUAUGCCACUCAAAACUUUUGGGGGACAAAGACUCGAGAAGAUAAAUGAAAGUACCUGAAGCUUCUUCUCGACCUCAACUUCUUCGAUGAUGGGACCUGGCAUGGCUCGCUCUGUAAAGGGUUCUGCUACAGCUUAACUUUGAGGAUGAAAUUUGCACAAGGAAAUAUGGUAAAUUUUGUCCAAGGGUUCCUCUGUUAUGGGCCAAUUUAACCAGUUAGCCCAGUUUCAC
rnacentral:lncRNA from 1 species